rnacentral:rRNA from 1 species
GAUGAACGCUAGCGGCAGGCUUAAUACAUGCAAGUCGUGGGCAGCAGGUCUGUAGCAAUACAGAUGCUGGCGACCGGCAAACGGGUGCGGAACACGUACAGAACCUUCCUUUGAGCGGGGAAUAGCCCAGAGAAAUUUGGAUUAAUACCCCAUAGUAUAAUGAAGUGGCAUCACUUUAUUAUUAAAGAUUUAUCACUCGAAGAUGGCUGUGCGGCUGAUUAGGUAGUUGGCGGGUAAAGGCCCACCAAGCCUGCGAUCAGUAACUGGUGUGAGAGCACGACCAGUCACACGGGCACUGAGACACGGGCCCGACUCCUACGGGAGGCAGCAGUAAGGAAUAUUGGUCAAUGGAGGCAACUCUGAACCAGCCAUGCCGCGUGGAGGAUGAAGGUCCUCUGGAUUGUAAACUUCUUUAUAUGGGACGAAAAAAGGCUUUUCUAAGUCGUCUGACGGUACCAUAUGAAUAAGCACCGGCUAACUCCGUGCCAGCAGCCGCGG